GAGAAUCCCUUGUAGAGAGGAGCCUGUGGGCUGCAGUCCAUGGGGUCACAAAGAGUCGGACACAACUGAAGUGACUUAGCACAGUACAGCACACAUGUACUUCGGGGCAGUGCUUCUCCAGUGUUAACGUGCCUGUGGGUCACCUGGGGACCUCAUUAAAAUGCAGAUUUUGAUUUGGGAAGGCUGAGAGGGAGCUUAAGAGUCUGCAUGGCUAGCUGGCUCCAGGUGAAGCCAACUUCUACAGACCGCAGUGUGAAUAGCCGGAUGUCGAGAGCAGGACACGACUAAGCAGAGCCCAGCCCAGCCCAGCGAGCAGGAUGGCUCCUCUCUGUGAGUACGGCUGGGGAGCCCCGGGUAGAAGAAACUAUAAAACAUAAGGCAGUUUGCAGUGAAAGUUUAGCAGUCUCAGCGCAGCUGGACUGGGAAGUAUCAUCUGAGUUCAGCUUCAUGAGAUUUACAGCCCAGGCUCAUGUGGACUGGGAAACUACUACAGAGAGGACAUCAGGGAAACAGUCUGCUUCCACCUUGCAGCUGCGACAUCCAAAUAUGUGACUUCUGAAGUUCUGGUGAAAGAAAAAAGAGCCAGAUAGACCCCAGGCUAUUUAACAUGGUGAUCACCAUCUGUUCAUAUGUCCUUUCUUUGGUUUGCGAGUGGAGAGAGAAGCAUCCUGGUUUUUCUUCCUCAUCUUUGACAGGCUGGAUUCUAUAACUUGCUUCCAAAAACUAGAGUGUGGAAAA